rnacentral:rRNA from 1 species
UGGGGAAUAUUGCACAAUGGGGGAAACCCUGAUGCAGCGACGCCGCGUGAACGAAGAAGGUAUUCGUAUCGUGAAGUUCUGUCCUAUGGGAAGAUAAUGACAGUACCAUAGAAGAAAGCUCCGGCUAAAUACGUGCCAGCAGCCGCGGUAAUACGUAUGGAGCGAGCGUUGUCCGGAAUUAUUGGGCGUAAAGGGUACGCAGGCGGUUUAAUAAGUCGAAUGUUAAAGAUCGGGGCUCAACCCCGCAAAGCAUUGGAAACUGAUAAACUUGAGUAGUGGAGAGGAAAGUGGAAUUCCUAGUGUAGUGGUGAAAUACGUAGAUAUUAGGAGGAAUACCAGUAGCGAAGGCGACUUUCUGGACACAAACUGACGCUGAGGUACGAAAGCGUGGGGAGCAAACAGG